rnacentral:rRNA from 1 species
AAACGCUUAAAGUCAGUCACAUUGGCUGGAAAUCAACCUUGCUUUUGCUGGGUGUACUUUCUAGUUGAUGGGUCAACAUCAGUUUUGACCAGUGGAUAAAGUCAAUAGGAAUGUGGCUCCUUCGGGAGUGUUAUAGCCUGUUGUCGCAUACACUGGUUGGGACUGAGGCUCUCAGCACGCCAUUUUGGCCUGGUUUCGACCAUGUUCGUGCUUAGGAUGUUGGCAUAAUGGCUUUAAUCGA